GUCCUGGGAAAUUUCAAGUAUGCCUCCUGGUGGGGUGCACAGAGGCAUUCUUUGACUGCUGUUUAGUGUCAAGCUCAAUUGAAUCAAUCCUCAAUUAGGAGUAAAGGCAACAUAGAAAGUGAAAAGAUAGGGUUAGAACUGUAUAACACCAGUUGUCUCAGUCCAUCUUCUGUCGUUGUAACAAAAACACCUGAGACUGGGUAAUUUAUAAAGAUUAGAAGUUUAUUUGGCUCAUAGUUUUGGAGGCAGGGAGAUCCAAGAGCAUGCUGUGGACAUCAGCUCAACAUCUGCUGGGGUCCUUCUUGCUACAUCAUAAGGCAGAGGACAUCGCGUGGUGAGUCAGAGUAAGCAUGUUAGCUUGGGUCUCACUUCUUAUAAAGCCACUAAUGCCACCUUGGAGGCUCUACCCUCAUGACCUCAUCUAAUUGCAGUUACUCCUCCAAAGGCCCCACCUCUAAAUAACAUUAACAUGCUAAUUUGUAGAUUAGGUUUCCAACACUUGAAACUUGCGGGGACACACUUCAACCACAGCGUCAGGAAAUGUCUCUGAAAUAAAAUUCUCUCUUCCCUCUAAUUUCACCCAUAACUACCAGCUAUCAGUUUCCUUUGCUGUUGCUUCUUUUCUGAACAAUGGAAAGAAAUAUGUCUCUUCUCUAUUUUUUCCCUGUCUAAACAACAACAACAACAAA
rnacentral:lncRNA from 1 species